rnacentral:piRNA from 1 species
UGAUAUAGGUGUUUUCUCCUCAAGAGAGGCU